GGCUUCAGCAGAAUGUGUGUGUGCACGCAAUCACCAGAACUAGGAGCAUGUGUGUGUAAGUGGUGCAUGACUGGAUCUUGUAGUCCAUGAAACUGCAGAUUUGUAGUCCUUUGGCGAUCCGUAGCCUCUAGAUCGCUGGUGAUCAUAAUUAUUAUAUUAUAUUAUAUUAUAUUAUAUUAUAUUAUAUUAUAUUAUAUUAUAUUAUAUUAUAUUAUAUUAUAUUAUAUUAUAUUAUAUUAUAUUAUAUUAUAUUAUAUUAUAUGAAUAGUGUACACAAUAAACAAAUUAUUUGUUAAUUUAAAAUAUUAUUAUUAUUAUUAUUAUUAUUAUUAUUAUUAUUAUUAUUAUUGUUAUUAUUAUUAUUAUUUGUUUAUUAUUUAUUUAUUU
ensembl:processed_transcript